rnacentral:misc_RNA from 1 species
AAGCUUCAAAUUCGCCUGGACGCGUUUUCGUAGAACAUACCCUUUCUCGUUCUGGUGAAUCUUUCGCUCAAUUUUAUUUUAAUUUUUCAAUUUAAUCGUACGGCUUUGAUUCACUCCUGAUUCUCUUGUGGGUUUUUCCCGGAUCUUGCAAUCUUGAUAUUUCUGAUUAUCAAGUGUUGCAGAAAUGACUUACUUAAUAUCGACAACAAAA